GAUAGUGAACCAGUACCGUGAGGGAAAGGCGAAAAGAACCCCGGCGAGGGGAGUGAAAUAGAACCUGAAACCGUGUACGUACAAGCAGUGGGAGCCCCAUCACUCAAGUGCCUCGGCAAUUGAGUGAGGGUGUAAAACCAUCACAAUAACAGCGCAGGAUUUGCUAACAAGAUUGGUUGAUUUUUUCAAGCCGUCGCGCAGUGUACAUAGAAGUACACGAGCAGCGGAAGUUAAAAAAUCGGGCAAGGUUGGCCGCAAAGACAAGCGGGACAUUUGAGGAUGGGGUGACUGCGUACCUUUUGUAUAAUGGGUCAGCGACUUAUAUUCUGUAGCAAGGUUAACCGUAUAGGGGAGCCGUAGGGAAACCGAGUCUUAACUGGGCGAAUAA
rnacentral:rRNA from 1 species